rnacentral:rRNA from 1 species
CUGGUCUUGACAUCCACGGAAGUUUUCAGAGAUGAGAAUGUGCCUUCGGGAACCGUGAGACAGGUGCUGCAUGGCUGUCGUCAGCUCGUGUUGUGAAAUGUUGGGUUAAGUCCCGCAACGAGCGCAACCCUUAUCCUUUGUUGCCAGCGGUCCGGCCGGGAACUCAAAGGAGACUGCCAGUGAUAAACUGGAGGAAGGUGGGGAUGACGUCAAGUCAUCAUGGCCCUUACGACCAGGGCCACACACGUGCUACAAUGGCGCAUACAAAGAGAAGCGACCUCGCGAGAGCAAGCGGACCUCAUAAAGUGCGUCGUAGUCCGGAUUGGAGUCUGCAACUCGACUCCAUGAAGUCGGAAUCGCUAGUAAUCGUGGAUCAGAAUGCCACGGUGAAUACGUUCC